rnacentral:rRNA from 1 species
GACGAACGCUGGCGGCGUGCUUAACACAUGCAAGUCGAACGGAAAGGCCCUGCUUGCAGGGUACUCGAGUGGCGAACGGGUGAGUAACACGUGGGUGAUCUGCCCUGCACUUCGGGAUAAGCCUGGGAAACUGGGUCUAAUACCGGAUAGGAGCCAUUUUUAGUGUGAUGGUUGGAAAGUUUUUUCGGUGUAGGAUGAGCUCGCGGCCUAUCAGCUUGUUGGUGGGGUAAUGGCCUACCAAGGCGGCGACGGGUAGCCGGCCUGAGAGGGUGGACGGCCACAUUGGGACUGAGAGACGGCCCAGACUGCUACGGGAGGCAGCAGUGGGGAAUAUUGCACAAUGGGCGCAAGCCUGAUGCAGCGACGCCGCGUGGGGGAUGACGGCCUUCGGGUUGUAAACUCCUUUCGCUAGGGACGAAGCUUUUUGUGACGGUACCUAGAUAAGAAGCACCGGCUAACUACGUG